AUUUCUUGGACCGCUCCCAUGGCACAUGGAGGUUCCCAGGCUAGGGGUUAAAUCGGAGCUGCAGCCACCGGCCUACGCCAGAGCCACAGCAAUGUGGGAUCCGAGACGCGUCUGCAACCUACACCACAGCUCACGGCAACGCCGGAUGGUUAACCCACUGAGCAAGCGCAGGGACCGAACCCGCAACUUCAUGGUUCCUAGUUGGAUUCGUUAACCACUGGGCCACGACAGGAACUCCUAUUUAGCUUUUUGUUUUAACUAGAUAUUAAACACACGUAAAUGCUUGUUUGAAACUUGAAAAAUCCUGCAGGGAUCGUGGAAGUUGGUGCAGGAAAACACAGUAGAGCAACUGAACAAAUAUCUGUUGUGAGAUUUACCGUCUGCCCAGGGGACGCCUGAAAGCACUUCCUUAGCAAAGCUCUUCCUUCACCUAUGAGGUAAUAAUGACCAGGGAAUUGCCAAAGCCCUCAAGCCAAAGAGCAGGUGACAUCAACUUUAUCCUGAGCAAUUUAAAUCUAUCUGCGGUGCCAUGUUCCCCAGAAGGGGCCUAGACGAAAAACAAGAGUCAACUGUGUUUUCCUUUAUGGUUCUUUUCUACCCUUAGCAGCUGCCCCUCUAAAAAAAAAAGAUGAAACUUAAGCUUUGUCUAUGGAGAUUACUUUCACAGUUAGGAUUUUUUUAGUCCCAUUUAGUUGCUACUGUCUUAUCUCUGAGCCAGCUAUCUUUGUAGUAAAAUUCCUAAGCCCAACAGGUUUUGAAUUUCCAUCUGUUGUGUAAUAAAUUAAAUUAAUAUGUCAUAUGACUUAAAAAGGCUUUUGUCCUGGGUUCCUGGAAAGGAGCUUCCAAACUUGGAACUGCCUGAGGGAAAGGAGUAUCUUUGUUAUUUACUGUAGGUCCUCAGACUACACCUGAAUUUAGGCAAAUGAAGAACUCAAAGGGGGUCCCCAGCCAGUUUCAGGAGGGGGCCAGCAGUGCUAAAAAGAGCAACCCUGGGAUUAGAAGGGUGGGACUUUGAGUCUUGUGACAUCAGCCUGACCUCUGGAGAGAGAAAUGGGAUUAAGGAUUGAAUUCAACUAUUUAGCCAAUGAUUCAAUAAAUCAUGCCUAUGCAAUGAAACCCCAAUUAAAAACUUCGGAUACCAAGGCUCUGGUGAGGUUCCUGAUGGAGGAACAAAUUAAAGUCCCUGGAAGGCAUUGUCUCCUGAUUUUAAGGAGAGAGCAGUGGAAGAAGCUCUGUGUUCAAGACCCUUCCAGACCUUGUCCUAUCUGUCUCUUCAUUUGGCUGGUUCUGAUUUGUAUCAUUUAUAAUAAAACUGUAAACAUUAGUGCCUUCCUCAGUUCUGUGGGUCAUUUUAGAGAAUUAUCAAACCUGAGGGGGUUGUAGGAAACCCGAAUUUACUUAUAGUCAGCUGUUCAGAAUAACCACACAAUGGCCAUGUUUUAUUCAGCAAGAUAAAAUGUCAAGGAGUUCUCGUCAUGGCUCGGUGGUAACGAACCGAAUUAGUAACCAUGAGGACACAGGUUCGAUCACUGGCCUUGCUCAGUGGGUUAAGGAUCCAGCAUUGCUAUGAGCUGUAGUAUAGGUCACAGAUGCAGCUCGGAUCCCACGUUGCUGUGGCUGUGGCUAGGCUGGCGGCUACAGCUCUGAUUGGACCCUUAGCCUGGGAAUCUCCAUGUGCUAAAGGUGCGGCCCUAAAAAGACAAAAAUUGUGGAGAGAGGAUUAAGAUGGUGGAAUAGAAGGACUGGAACUCAACUGCUCUCCUAAAAACAACAAAAUUCACAACUAAAGGCUGAGCAAUCUCCACCCAAAUGGACCAGAAACCUUAAAAAAUAUACCCUACUCAGUAGAAAAAGAGGAGGCCACAUCAAGAGGUAGGAGGGGCAAUUUCGUGAUAUAAACAACCCCAUACAUCCAGGGUGGGAAGCUCCAGAGACUAAAAACCAACUGGUUCACAGAGACUCACCUAUAGGAGUGAAAGUUCUGAGCCCCACAUCAAACCCUCAUGUGCAGGGAUCCAGAACUGGGAGAAAGAGCCCCUGGAGCAUCUGGCAUUGAAGGCCAGUGGGGCUUGUGUGCAGGAGCUCCACAGGACUGGGGGAAAUGGAGACCCCAUUCUUAAAAGGUGCACACGGACUUUCACGUGCACUGGGUCCCAGGGCAGAGC
rnacentral:lncRNA from 1 species